GACGAACGCUGGCGGCGUGCUUAACACAUGCAAGUCGAACGGUGACGGGGAGCUUGCUCCCCUGAUCAGUGGCGAACGGGUGAGUAACACGUGGGCAAUCUGCCCUGACUUCGGGAUAACGCUUCGAAAGAGGUGCUAAUACCGGAUAUGAACCUCGCAGGCAUCUGCGAGGUUGGAAAGUUUCUCGGUCAGGGAUGAGCCCGCGGCCUAUCAGCUAGUUGGUGAGGUAAUGGCUCACCAAGGCGACGACGGGUAGCCGGCCUGAGAGGGCGACCGGCCACACUGGGACUGAGACACGGCCCAGACUCCUACGGGAGGCAGCAGUGGGGAAUAUUGCGCAAUGGGCGAAAGCCUGACGCAGCAACGCCGCGUGAGGGAUGACGGCC
rnacentral:rRNA from 1 species